AACGAACGCUGGCGGCAUGCCUAACACAUGCCAGUCGAACGAGACCUUUGGGUCUAGUGGCGCACGGGUGCGUAACGCGUGGGAAUCUGCCCUUGGGUUCGGAAUAACAGUGAGAAAUUGCUGCUAAUACCGGAUGAUGUCUUCGGACCAAAGAUUUAUCGCCCAGGGAUGAGCCCGCGUAGGAUUAGCUAGUUGGUGGGGUAAUGGCCUACCAAGGCGACGAUCCUUAGCUGGUCUGAGAGGAUGAUCAGCCACACUGGGACUGAGACACGGCCCAGACUCCUACGGGAGGCAGCAGUGGGGAAUAUUGGACAAUGGGCGCAAGCCUGAUCCAGCAAUGCCGCGUGAGUGAUGAAGGCCUUAGGGUUGUAAAGCUCUUUUACCAGGGAUGAUAAUGACAGUACCUGGAGAAUAAGCUCCGGCUAACUCCGUG
rnacentral:rRNA from 1 species